CCUACGGGUGGCAGCAGUGGGGAAUAUUGGACAAUGGGGGGAACCCUGAUCCAGCGACGCCGCGUGAGUGAAGAAGUAUUUCUGUAUGUAAAGCUCUAUCAGCAGGGAAGAAAGAAAUGACGGUACCUGACUAAGAAGCCCCGGCUAACUACGUGCCAGCAGCCGCGGUAAUACGUAGGGGGCAAGCGUUAUCCGGAUUUACUGGGUGUAAAGGGAGCGUAGACGGCGAUGCAAGUCUGAAGUGAAAGGCGGGGGCCCAACCCCCGGACUGCUUUGGAAACUGUAUGGCUGGAGUGCGGGAGAGGUAAGUGGAAUUCCUGGUGUAGCGGUGAAAUGCGUAGAUAUUAGGAAGAACACCAGUGGCGAAGGCGGCUUACUGGACUGUAACUGACGUUGAGGCUCGAAAGCGUGGGGAGCAAACAGGAUUAGAUACCCGAGUAGUC
rnacentral:rRNA from 1 species